rnacentral:rRNA from 1 species
CCGGCACGGGUGAGUAACACGUAUGCAAUCCACCUGUAACAGGGGAGUAACCGGAGAAAUCCGACUAAUACCCAUAAUAUGGGCGCUCCGCAUGGAGAGCCCAUUAAAGAGAGCAAUUUUGGUUACAGACGAGCAUGCGCUCCAUUAGCCAGUUGGCGGGGUAACGGCCCACCAAAGCGACGAUGGAUAGGGGUUCUGAGAGGAAGGUCCCCCACAUUGGAACUGAGACACGGUCCAA